rnacentral:rRNA from 1 species
CCCUACGGGGUGCACCAGGCGCGAAACCUCCGCAAUGCACGAAAGUGCGACGGGGGAAAGAGAAGUGCCACUCUUAACGGGGUGGCUUUUCUUAAGUGUAAAAAGCUUUUGGAAUAAGAGCUGGGCAAGACCGGUGCCAGCCGCCGCGGUAA